AUGACUUUGCUCUAAACAGUAUCAGUAUAUUAUUAAGGCUGGUAAGAUUCUGUUUUAUGUACCUUUAAAGGAUUUGAUCUUCACAAACCUCAACAAACAUACAACAGGACGCCCACCAGCAGUUUGGCUUCCUCUGUACACAGUCUCAGCAAAUGAUCCCCACAAGUGUCAGGUAACUUGAGUCAGAGACAGGAUCACAUGGAAAUACAUGAGUUCCAUUUGUGAAAGUCAUCUUAUAUAGAUGAGAGGUUGGACGGAAUUGGCCACUGGCAUAAUUGAGAGCAAAGAUCUCAAUGAAAACCCAAUGACCAACAGAUAACACCAACUCUAGAGUUUCACCAGUGUUGGCUGUGUACUGCCGCCAGGAGUGAAGUACCUUCACUUGGACUCUCCAUUGUGUGGUGUAUGGCCUGACAUCUUUGAGAUUGCCUUGGCGAAAAUAAAGGAACAACGGAGAUUGCAUUUGGCGAAAAUAUACUUAAGGUAUGAGAGAUGUUAUUUGAAUUGAUUUUGGUAAAAAUAAGUAGAAGAAUUAAAGACAACAUGGCUUUAUUUAUUAGUUUGAAAUUAAUACAACAUCCCUUAAAUCUCUUAUUCUAGAUCCGAACAGAAUUAAACCGGGUCAAACCCGGAUCCAAAAGAAUUAAAGCAAAAAAGUACUGUAAAAAUGUUAAUAUAGAUAUCAAAAAAGUUAUUCAUCAACUAAGAAUUAAGAUACGUCACUAAUGGAUUUAGAGUAUGUGAGUAUACGUAAUGGUAAACUCGAUGGAGAUUGUGUUCUUAAUUAAUUUACUUCGGUAAAAAAAAAAAAAAAAAA